CAGGGUUGAGGACCUCGACUCUGUACCUUCCUGUUCAAGGUGAGGUCUGUGGACCAACAGCAUCAGCUUGUUAGAAAUGCAGAAUCUCUUGUCCCAUCCUAGAUUGAUGAUUGAUGAAUCCAGAUGUGCACGUUAACAAAAUCGCCAGCUGAUUCCUUUACACCAUAAAGUUUGAAAAAUGCUCGUCUGCAGCAUCUUGCAUGGACUCGCAUAUGGAGAGAAUUGAGAAAAUGUCAUCUUAGCAUAUGUAUCGUGAAGUUGCCCUUCUACUGGAGUUCAGAAUCUUCUUGGUGGCAUAACAUAAGAGACAAUGAAAUGGACCAUAUGUCUAAAUACGGUAAAUGGGGAGAAUAUGGAGAAGCAAUUGAACAAAACAAAUCCAAAAGUGGGAAGUCCCCUUCUGGCAAGCGGCUGCAAGAAGACAGAACUGGUACUAGAAUGGAAACCUUGGGACUCCGGUUGCUGCAUAAAAAAAAAUAAUAAUAAUAAACAGAGGAACCAAAAUAAACACCCACAUCUCCAUGCCGGAGAGCAGAAGAGCAAGAAGUUGCCAAACAUUUUUUGUUUUGUUUUGCUAGAUUAUUUUUAUUCUCUAAAUCUAAGCUCCUAUAUUCCCCUUCUUCCCUGUUUCUGUAUGUUAGAAACUCAGUAUAAGUGGGGUGAAAAAAAAACAAAGGCUGGAUGCUUCAUUUACUGUCAACAGGGAUGUUUCAGAUCACUGUUAAACUAGAAGGGACUCAAAUGCUUUAGAAACAUCUCAUCACUCAAUUUAGCAACUUUCAUAUACUGUUGUUAGACUGCCAUGAACAAAAUGUGCAGGCCCCUCUACUUCUUCCAUCUCUCAUCAAGACUGUUUCCAUGUUACGAUAAAGUGAACACUAGAUACAGUGGAAAUAUUUCUAGGUCUGCCUGAUGAAUAAUACCCCAUUUCAUCAUCUGAGCCUUUAAGACACAGUAUUUCGUAAGGACUGUAUUAGAUGGGGCUGGGGGAGCUUCUUGUCCUGUGAAAACAAAUUCAUGCUAGGAGAGGCCAAUAAAGACAAUAAAAUUAAUAUUUAUUACAUGCUUACUAGGUGCCAGAGCGUCAAGGAAUACAUAAGUAUUAUCUUAAUUAAUCCUGAUAAUGAAUGCUUCUGCAAGAGAAUUAGGUAUUAAUAGUACGAUGAGGAACUUCUUAGAGAGGUUAAGUAAUUUGCCCAAGGUCACACAGUUAGUAAGUGGUGGAGCUAGGAGCUAAUCCAGGUCUAACACAGUAUCCACUCUCUUAAUCCGUAUACUUCAGGGUCACUUGAAAAACCAUAGCCUUGACUAGAUGGACCUUUGUUGACAAAGUAAUGUCUCUGCUUUUCAAUACACUGUCUAGGUUGGUCAUUACUUUCCUUCCAAGGAGUAAGUGUCUUUUAAUUUCAUGGCUGCAAUCACCAUCUGCAGUGAUUUUGGAGCCCAAAAAAAUAAAGUAUGACACUGUUUCCACUGUUUCCCCAUCUGUUUCCCAUGAAGUGAUGGGACCAGAUGCCAUACGUAUUAUAGAUUACAAAUUAAAAUUAUAGAUUGACAUUAUCAAAACAGUUAAACAUGGGACUUCACUGGUGGUCCAGUGGUUAAAACUCUGUGCUCCCAGGGCAGGAGUUCUGGGUUUGAUCCCUGGUUAGGGAACUAGAUCCCACAUGCCACAGCUAAGACCCAGUGCAGCCAAAUAAAUAAAAUGAAUACAAAUAAAUAUUAAAAACCACAAAGCAAAAUAACAGUUAAACAUGAAUUUGUGACACAUCAACAUAUGUCCUUCUAUAUGAACACGUAAC